GUAUAUGUUGUGAAGAGCUGUAGUUUAUAUAUAUUCAGAAGUUGAACAUUCUAUGUUCUUUCAUUCGGAUAUGAUAAUAUCUUACUGCAUAAAGACCACUAGUAAAAGUUCAAGUGCUCUUGGCUAAUAUGUUCUCAUGUUGUUUGCUUGGCAAGAAAAGAGCAACUCCAAUGGGUACCAUGCAUUUGCUCCUCGGGGAACAACAGUUAAGUCUAAUGACUGAAACUUAGCUCUUUUAGUACGAAUGUCUUCGUUUCAAAUGUUUAAAUUGAUAGAAGUAGGAUUUAGAGGAGUUGGUGAUGUCCUCUUGCACGGCAGCAGCAUCCAUUUCAUUUUGUAAUGUCCUCUGACAAGUCUAGUGACUGAAACUUGGUGACAAGUCUAGUGACUUUUGAUCUGUUUCCUCUCUUUUAUCUAAUGAAAUUCCUUGCCAAAUA